UCUGGUGUAAGAAUGAGGCUUACCUUUAAGUUUUUAAUGGAAGGUGGCCAUGUAGUAGAUAUGGUGAUCAGCUGACCAAAUAGUUUUUUUCUGGAAGUAGCAAUAGGUAGAGGGGAGAGAUCCAAUCUAUAGUGGAUAGAUCCAAUCUACAAAGAAUUAACACAGACUGAAAAUUUUUGAAAAGUUGGUGCUUUUACUUUUUCAAUAUGAGUUAAGAUUAAUGAUACAUAUUGUAAAUGUAUUUUGUUCUUUAUUAAAAUAUUCUUUGGAUUGGUCUAUAUGGUUUUCUGUUAUGGACUUAAACAAUCUUCUAAAAUCUUCACAAGGGAAAGAGUAUGGCUCUUAAAAUGGUUUUCAUCUAGAGUGCUACAUAUCCAGAUGCUUUUGUGAAGUGUGUGGCUUCAUAAAGAGAAGGGCAGUCUCCUACACUGUGUGCAGUCUGCAGAUCAUUAAUUCCUGAGGUCUUCUGAAGCUCCAUGUUUAGGAAAUGCUGGUAGCUAGGUUCUUGUCUUUCUCCCUACUUCAUAGGUUCCAGAAGCACAAUCAGCCUUAGUGUCCAACUGUGUAGAGAAUAAAAACACUGAGAUGCACAGGAGGUAUCCCUGCCUGUGCAGGUUAGUGUAUCAGAAGAGAACUGCUAAGGAAGCAAUGUCCCUCUGUUGAAAGAAAUCACUCCUAUUUGUACAGAGUGUCAUCCUGCAGCCAGAGUCCAGGGUGUCACCACUGUCCCUCUGGAGUUUGCCUUGGUUGAGGCUUCUGAUUUCCCAGCACAUCUUCUCCAGUGGGUGCUGGAAAUGGAGCCUUGCAGUGUCCCCCUGCUCCUUCCUGGGUGUUGCACAAUCCCUCAUUGUCUGGAGCAGAUUUUUAGGGCCUGCUUUGCAUCUGCCACCAUGCAGACCGGCCAGCUGACCUCUAAAGUAUGUUUGCUGCACCUUGCAUUGCAUGAAAACAGUUACUAAGAGUGUUUAAAGAAAAUACCAUUGGAAUUACUUUAAAUGCUUAUAAAUUAAUGAGAUACUUUAACUGCCCUGCCCCCGUUGAUCUUGUGAAACACUGAUGUGAGCUGGUUACUGGUUGAUCUGAGUGCAUGAUAGUGACGAGUUACCGUACCUGGCAGUUACCCAUUUUUGAUAGGUAGUUUAUUGUUUGCAGAUUUGGUGAGUAACAUUAUCUCAGGAUCUCUGAUUGAAGAAUGAAUUAGUAUAAUGCCAUUUCGUUGUUGUUGUUUAUUAUUAUUAUGUCAUAAGUUACUUGGUUCAUGUCCUGAGGGAUCUGUAGUCUAUACUAAAAAACAGACAGAAGUCCCUAUGAAACUUUGGAGAUGAAUGCUACUUCAGAGAGAUCGUUUUUUCCUAGUGGUUUCUUAUUUCUAAGGCUUGUGUUUCUUGUACCAGACCCACAUCCAUGAAUCUUCAAGGGGGGUGUGAAUGGGUAGUACACAGCAUGCAGCGUGGUAUUAAGGGCAUUCAAAAUGGCUUGGCUAGCAAAGUAAAAAA